GAAAAUAUAGUCUUCAAUUUUUCCUUCUUGCCUACCUUUGUGUCAUACUGCUUCUGACUAUUUUGAAUGCCGUGGAGUGUUUCCUGGAUACUUGGAUUUCACAGAACAGUAAAAUAUCAAGAACAAUUUUGAAGGCUGAUAUACAGUUGCCAUUAUUUUUCCCAAGGCCUCGCACACCAGGUACUCCUUAAUUGUAUCCUGAAUUAAAUUCCAAGCUUCAACUAGUUUUUCAUAACAGAACCAAUCGUGUCACCAGGAAAGAACCACUGCCAGCCUGGACUAAAAAGGAAAAAGAAGGAACAAAUUAAAGGAAAAGUCACUUCAUGGGCAGAACCAUGGAAGCUGAGGUCUGGACUGAAGACAUCUUUUCUGGACAAGAGAACAGGCCCACUCGUGAAUGUGGAAAGAGUGAAUCUGCCCUGCAGCUUGGAGAAGGCUGGCCUUCUCCCCCAUUUUUUCAAGAAGAAUGCUGUCACCCCAGUGCUCAAAGAGCAUGGACUGUGUGGCCCAGGGAGUGCAGAGAAUGUGGUCACCAUCCUGAGGCUUGGAGAGAGUGGAGACUUCACCCUAGUGUUCAGGGAGAGCCCAGCUGCAGUACUUGGAAGGCGUGAAGCUGCUGUUCCAUCAGAUCUGGAGAACAAAACAUUGCUCCACAGAUGACCCUCAGACCUUGAAAUCUAAAGGAGUAUGCCCUGCAAGGUUUGGGAAUUGUUUGGGACCCGUGAUCCAUUUUCCUUCCAAUUUCUCCCUACGGGAAUGGAAAUGUUUAUCCUAUGCCUGUCCCUCCAUUGUAUAUUGGAAGCAGAUAAUUGGUUCUAUAGAUUUCACAGGUCCACAGAGGGGAAUUGUUCCCCAGGAAAGACCAUACCUAUAGCCAAUUUUGAUGAGACUUUGUACUCAACAUUGCUUCUGAAAUGACUUAUGGCUUUGGGAAUAUUGUGAUGGAAUUAAUGUAUUUUGCAUAUAGAAAGAGCAUGUCUUUUGGAGUUCAGAGGGUUGUGUGUGGUUGUUUGAAGCCCUAUGUCCCAGAACAACAUGUUCUUAAAUCUAAUCCAUUCCUGUGGGUGUGAACCAACUUUAAUUUGUACCUUUUGAUGAGGCUACUUCAGUCAAGGUAUAUGGUCCAGCCCAGUCAGGAUGGGUCUUAAUCCAA